UGCGUAGGUGGCCUUUUAAGUUGGAUGUGAAAUACCCGGGCUUAACUUGGGGGUGCAUCUAAUACUGGAAGGCUAGAGUGCAGGAGAGGGAAGCGGAAUUCCUAGUGUAGCGGUGAAAUGCGUAGAUAUUAGGAGGAACACCAGUGGCGAAGGCGGCUUUCUGGACUGUAACUGACACUGAGGCACGAAAGCGUGGGGAGCAAACA
rnacentral:rRNA from 1 species